UUGUGGAGGAGGACGCCGAAGGUGGGGCUAAUGACUGGGGUGAAGUCGUAGCAAGGUAGCCGUACCGGAAGGUGCGGCUGGAUCACCUCCUAACAGGGAGACAACAAAAUGUUUAAUAUUAUUAUUUUGUCACCUUAGGUCGAUCGGUAUCUCACGUUCUUAAUUUAUUAAGAAUUUCAUUUCCUAAGUUUUUCUAGGUCACACCCAUUAUUUUUCCUGGGCCAUUAGCUCAGGUGGUUAGAGCGCACCCCUGAUAAGGGUGAGGUCCCUGGUUCAAGUCCAGGAUGGCCCAUAUCUCUAUGUUGGGGGUAUAGCUCAGUUGGUAGAGCGCCUGCUUUGCAAGCAGGAUGUCAGCGGUUCGAGUCCGCUUACCUCCACUGAUUACCACCUCUUCCAUAAUCUGUAUUAAGGAAAUGUUUUGAGUAGUGAUCAAAAUCUGAACGAAUCUAGCCUCCUAAUGAAAUCAUUAAGAUGCUGGACUCAUUGAAUUAUUUUCAUUGUUUUCAGAGAACCUUGACAACUGCAUAGAUUAUUUUUAAAGACAAUAAGCAUCUUUAAUAAUGCAGAUUUAUUAUUUGUGCGAAUGCAUUAAUAACAAUUCUAUUAAGCUGAUGCUUCAAUAUUUGAAGUUAUUGGUCAAGCUACAA
rnacentral:misc_RNA from 1 species